AUACGUAGGUGACAAGCGUUAUCCGGAUUUAUUGGGUUUAAAGGGGGCGCAGGCGGAGAUGCAAGCGUGACGUCAAAUUUCGGGGCUCAACCCCGUCUCGCGUCGCGAACUGCGUCCCUUGGUUGCGGGAAGGGGAGGCGGAACUCGUGGUGUAGCGGUGAAAUGCAUAGAUAUCACGAAGAACUCCGAUCGCGAAGGCAGCCUUCCGGCCCGUCAACGACGCUCAUGCUCGAAGGUGCGGGUAUCAAACAGGAUUAGAUACCCUGGUAGUCCGCACAGUAAACGAUGGACACCCGCGGUUUGGCCUGUAUGGCUGAGCCGCCAAGCGAAAGCGUUAAGUGUCCCACCUGGGGAGUACGCCGGCAACGGUGAAACUCAAAUGAAUUGACGGGG
rnacentral:rRNA from 1 species